CCCUUAGAUGUUCUGGGCGGCCCGCGCACUACAUUGGCACUCUCAAUAAGUUCCUAGAUCUAAAACUUUGGGGUAUUCUAUUAAGUGGUGUCGUGACUGGGAUUAACCCUUGCAAUUAUUGGUUACGAACGAGGAAUUCCUUGUAAUCGCGGUUUGUCAGCCCGCGUUGAAUGCGUCCCUGCCCUUUGUACACACCGCCCGUCGCUCCUACCGAUGAAUCGUCCGGUGAAGUUCAUGGAGUGGUGGUUGUUCCAGCUGCUGUCGAAGUGAAAUGGACCUCACGAUUUAGAGGAAGGAGAAGUCGUAACA
rnacentral:rRNA from 1 species